rnacentral:rRNA from 1 species
AUGAACGCUAGCGACAGGCUUAACACAUGCAAGUCGAGGGGCAGCACAGGUAGCAAUACCGGGUGGCGACCGGCGCACGGGUGAGUAACGCGUAUGCAACUUGCCUAUCAGAGGGGGAUAACCCGGCGAAAGUCGGACUAAUACCGCAUGAAGCAGGGAUCCCGCAUGGGAAUAUUUGCUAAAGAUUCAUCGCUGAUAGAUAGGCAUGCGUUCCAUUAGGCAGUUGGCGGGGUAACGGCCCACCAAACCGACGAUGGAUAGGGGUUCUGAGAGGAAGGUCCCCCACAUUGGUACUGAGACACGGACCAAACUCCUAUGGGAGGCAGCAGUGAGGAAUAUUGGUCAAUGGCCGAGAGGCUGAACCAGCCAAGUCGCGUGAGGGAUGAAGGUUCUAUGGAUCGUAAACCUCUUUUAUAAGGGAAUAAAGUGCGGGACGUGUCCCGUUUUGUAUGUACCUUAUGAAUAAGGAUCGGCUAACUCCGUGCCAGCAGCCGCGGUAAGACGGAGGAUCCGAGCGUUAUCCGGAUUUAUUGGGUUUAAAGGGUGCGUAGGCGGCCUUUUAAGUCAGCGGUGAAAGUCUGUGGCUCAACCAUAGAAUUGCCGUUGAAACUGGGGGGCUUGAGUAUGUUUGAGGCAGGCGGAAUGCGUGGUGUAGCGGUGAAAUGCAUAGAUAUCACGCAGAACCCCGAUUGCGAAGGCAGCCUGCCAAGCCAUUACUGACGCUGAUGCACGAAAGCGUGGGGAUCAAACAGGAUUAGAUACCCUGGUAGUCCACGCAGUAAACGAUGAUCACUAGCUGUUUGCGAUACACUGUAAGCGGCACAGCGAAAGCGUUAAGUGAUCCACCUGGGGAGUACGCCGGCAACGGUGAAACUCAAAGGAAUUGACGGGGGCCCGCACAAGCGGAGGAACAUGUGGUUUAAUUCGAUGAUACGCGAGGAACCUUACCCGGGUUUGAACGCAUUCGGACCGAGGUGGAAACACCUUUUCUAGCAAUAGCCGUUUGCGAGGUGCUGCAUGGUUGUCGUCAGCUCGUGCCGUGAGGUGUCGGCUUAAGUGCCAUAACGAGCGCAACCCUUGCCACUAGUUACUAACAGGUGAUGCUGAGGACUCUGGUGGGACUGCCAGCGUAAGCUGCGAGGAAGGCGGGGAUGACGUCAAAUCAGCACGGCCCUUACAUCCGGGGCGACACACGUGUUACAAUGGCGUGGACAAAGGGAGGCCACCUGGCGACAGGGAGCGAAUCCCCAAACCACGUCUCAGUUCGGAUCGGAGUCUGCAACCCGACUCCGUGAAGCUGGAUUCGCUAGUAAUCGCGCAUCAGCCAUGGCGCGGUGAAUACGUUCCCGGGCCUUGUACACACCGCCCGUCAAGCCAUGGGAGCCGGGGGUACCUGAAGUCCGUAACCGCGAGGAUCGGCCUAGGGUAAAACUGGUGACUGGGGCU